GGGAAAAAGAGGAGAAAGCCAUGAAGAAAUUCCAAAUCUCUGCUGUCCUUUUCGUGGCCAUUCUUCUUUUCGUUGGGGGGAAAGAAGUGGUAGCAGCAAGAGAUAUUGUACCCGGUUGCGUUGCAAUAAUAAAGAUGCCACCGUCAGAUUGUGGGAAAGUUUGCAAGACCUUGUGUAAGCAACAACAUGGACCUAAAGCUAUAGGAGCUUGUAUACCAGGUUGCUUUUGCGCUUUCCCUUGUCCUCCUCCCCCCUCUUAGGAAAAACAUUCCAUUCGGCGUACUACAUCUAUUUAAUUACUCCAAAUCCAGUUGAAUAAAAUUCACAUCAGAUGAAUAAUAUUUAAUAUUCUAUUU